rnacentral:rRNA from 1 species
GACGAACGCUGGCGGCGUGCUUAACACAUGCAAGUCGAACGGAAAGGCCCUGCUUUUGUGGGGUGCUCGAGUUGCGAACGGGUGAGUAACCCGUGAGUAACCUGCCCUUGACUUUGGGAUAACUUCAGGAAACUGGGGCUAAUACCGGAUAGGAGCUCCUGCUGCAUGGUGGGGGUUGGAAAGUUUCGGCGGUUGGGGAUGGACUCGCGGCUUAUCAGCUUGUUGGUGGGGUAGUGGCUUACCAAGGCUUUGCCGGGUAGCCGGCCUGAGAGGGUGACCGGCCACAUUGGGACUGAGAUACGGCCCAGACUCCUACGGGAGGCAGCAGUGGGGAAUAUUGCACAAUGGGCGGAAGCCUGAUGCAGCAACGCCGCGUGCGGGAUGACGGCCUUCGGGUUGUAAACCGCUUUCGCCUGUGACGAAGCGUGAGUGACGGUAAUGGGUAAAGAAGCACCGGCUAACUACGUG